UACGUAGGGUGCAAGCGUUGUCCGGAAUUAUUGGGCGUAAAGAGCGUGUAGGCGGCCAGGUAGGUCUGCUGUGAAAACUCGAGGCUCAACCUCGAGACGUCGGCGGAAACCAUCUGGCUAGAGUCCGGAAGAGGAGAGUGGAAUUCCUGGUGUAGCGGUGAAACUGCGCAGAUAUCAGGAAGAACACCCGUGGCGAAGGCGGCUCUCUGGGACGGUACUGACGCUGAGACGCGAAAGCGUGGGAGC
rnacentral:rRNA from 1 species